rnacentral:rRNA from 1 species
UGGGGAAUAUUGCACAAUGGGGAAAGACCCUGAUGCAGCAACGCCGCGUGAAGGAAGACGGUUUUCGGAUUGUAAACUUCUUUUCUUAGUGAAGAAGCAAGUGACGGUAGCUAAGGAAUAAGCAUCGGCUAACUACGUGCCAGCAGCCGCGGUAAUACGUAGGAUGCGAGCGUUAUCCGGAAUUACUGGGUGUAAAGGGAGCGCAGGCGGGACUGCAAGUUGGAUGUGAAAUACCGCAGCUUAACUGCGGAGCUGCAUCCAAAACUGUAGAUCUUGAGUGGAGUAGAGGCAAGCGGAAUUCCGAGUGUAGCGGUGAAAUGCGUAGAUAUUCGGAGGAACACCAGUGGCGAAGGCGGCUUGCUGGGCUCUAACUGACGCUGAGGCUCGAAAGUGUGGGGAGCAAACAGGAUUAGAUACC